UAUAAGGGAUUUUAAGUUUUUGCUUGCAACGUUUGACCACUCGUCUUAUGCAAGUUUUUUUUGAAAUUAUUAUUUAUUUUAUUUGUGACUUGCUUUAUUAUCUAUAGUACUUUAAGCACAACUUUUCGUUUUUUAUAUUUGUAAAAUUUUUUUGAAUAAGACGAGUGAUUAAACGUUGCAAGCAAAAAACUUAAA
rnacentral:pre_miRNA from 1 species